AGAGUUUGAUCCUGGCUCAGGAUGAACGCUAGCUACAGGCUUAACACAUGCAAGUCGAGGGGAAACGAUAUUGGAAGCUUGCUUCCGAUAGGCGUCGACCGGCGCACGGGUGAGUAACGCGUAUCCAACCUGCCCACCACUUGGGGAUAACCUUGCGAAAGUAAGACUAAUACCCAAUGACGUCUCUAGAAGACAUCUGAAAGAGAUUAAAGAUUUAUCGGUGAUGGAUGGGGAUGCGUCUGAUUAGCUUGUUGGCGGGGUAACGGCCACCAAGGCUACGAUCAGUAGGGGUUCUGGAGAGGAAGGUCCCCCACAUUGGAACUGAGACACGGUCCAAACUCCUACGGGACGGCCA
rnacentral:rRNA from 1 species